AGAGAAGCGAAGAAGAGGACAUGAAUUACUUGGAAGGUUUAAAGAGAGGGGAGCAGAAGGUGAGAGCUCUCUAACCAAGAAGCGUAAUUUACCACCUCCGAGCUGAGUCAGGGUGACAACUGAUGCCGUCAUAUGCAACGUUACUGCAAAAUGAAGCUGCCAAUCACUUGGCGGGAAUCUGGGUGGAACCGCGGAGAAGUAUAUUCGUCCCUUUG
rnacentral:ncRNA from 1 species